ensembl:lncRNA
UGGGAUGGCAUGAACACGUCCCUGGAUCUUUGAUUUCUUGUUAAGUAAAAGUGGGCCCCUAAAAUCAAGGCAGAUGUUUUCACUGCCUGUCACCAAAGCAGAGGAGGGCAGCUGCUUAAGAUCAGUGAGGACACCACUGUGGGGUCUUCCCUCCAUUAGUCUCACCCUUGGAGCCCGGUCAUUCUAUCCUGAAGAGAAUGAACGUGCCCCGUGGGACAGCCCCUCAGGAGCCCCCACUGGCCCCUGUGGACAACCUGAGACCCCCGAGAGGAGACUGACCACUCCCUGCUGGCCCUGCCCUCCCAGGCCUGGGGGUCUCCGCCUUCUUUGUUCUGAGCUGGAGGAGGGAGGGGCUACUCUUCUCACAGAGGACCCUUGGCCCCUGGCCCAUGCUGGGUGUCCAAGGGAGGUAGGAAGCAGCCCUUCUAGGUGCCUCUGUCCACUUCGCCGGCACAGCUGUCCCGAGCCCAGGAACGGGCUCUUUCCUCUACUUACAGACUGAGGGAAAGCUCCUGCUUCCGAGGCAGGAGUCACAGCACCUGUGGAAGCAGACUCGCUGAGGGAGACCUUGAGUGACAGCCAUUCCAGCCUCAGCUUCCCUGGUGGUAAAAGAAGGCACCCAACACAUGGCAGGCGAGGAAAUGUGUUCCUCUGUGAAAGGAAAAGAAGACUACAUUGGAGAGCAGGUUUGGGUCCCAUACCACUCCAGCCUGGGGGUGCUCCUGCACUAAGAAAUGAGCUGUUUAUGCUGCCCCUACAUGAGCAUCUGUAGAGGACCCUGGCAGAGCUGCUUCAGAAGCAAGGAGUGUGCCCCGAAUUCCUAACCAGACUGUGAGCUUCUUGAGGUUUCACCGAGAGUUGGCUGAAAAAGGGCCCAGAGAGGGACUAAGGGAAAAAAUUUCCCAUACACCAACAUCAAGAAAGGAAAUGACAGGCUAUUGUUUGGCCAUAGUUCCUUGCUGCCUCCAGCACUGCCUCCACCCAUGCUGCAGCAACCAUGUUGCCAGUCAACCAAUCAGCAACAGUUUCACUCCAGUGACCGUGUGGCUAACAGUCAGCCAAUCAGCAACAGCUUCACUCCAGUGACCGUGUGGCUAACAGCCAGCCAAUCAGCAACAGCUUCACUCCGGUGACCGUGUGGCUAACAGCCAGCCAAUCAGCAACAGCUUCACUCCGGUGACCGUGUGGCUAACAGUCAGCCAAUCAGCAACAGCUUCACUCCGGUGACCGUGUGGCUAACAGUCAGCAAUCAGCAACAGCUUCACUCCAGCAACCACUGCUGCUGAACGUGAGGUUGCAGAAUCAGCAACAGCCACACUUCUGUAACCAUAUUUCCACAGCUAAAGAUGAACAAUCCAUGAACACUCCCACUUCUGAGAGUCUGUGCACCGCUGAGCCGCACGCUUCCCGAACACUCUACAACCAGUUGUUGCUUUGUUCAGUGUGCACCUCACAAGGAUGGCUCUCCCUUGUGUAGCAGACACUUGGGUCUCUGCACUGAGACACCGAGUGGGGGCCUCUUCCUCUUCCUUUUGGGGGUGGAGCAUCAGACACAGCAAGAGCCGCUUGCCAGAUAGAAUGAUGGCACCGUGAAGGCAGGCGCCAGGUCAGCCUUUCUCACUGUUCUAUCUCCGUUCUGCGGACAGCAGUAACAAAGAGGAGUAACACACGUCAGGGCUUCUAAGAUAGAGCUGGGAGGCCAUGAAGGAAGUGAGGCUGUGCACGUACACCCCAUCUCUAUUCAGAAAGAAUGUAACUUUUGAACUGUGCCUCACUGUUGUUAUCUUGACCUUCCUU